rnacentral:lncRNA from 10 species
GUAAGCCCGUCCCCUUCUUAAUCAAUACGGAGGCUACCCACUCCACAUUACCCUCUUUUCAAGGGCCUGUUUCCCUUGCCUCCAUAACUGUUGUGGGUAUUGAUGGCCAAGCUUCUAAACCUCUUAAAACUCCCCAACUCUGGUGCCAACUUAGACAAUACUCUUUUAAGCACUCCUUUGUAGUUAUCCCCACCUGCCCAGUUCCCUGAUUAGGCUGAGACACUUUAACUAAAUUAUCUGCUUCCCUGACUAUUCCUGGACUACAGCUGUAUCUCAUUGCCGCCCUUCUUCCCAAUCCAAAGCCUCCUUUGCGUCCUCCUCUUGUAUUCCCCCACCUUAACCCACAAGUAUAAGAUACCUCUACUCCCUCCUUGGGGACUGAUCAUGCACCCCUUACCAUCUCAUUAAAACCUAAUCACCCUUACCCCACUCAACGCCAAUAUCCCAUCCCGCAGCAUGCUUUAAAAAGAUUAAAGCCUGUUAUCACUCGCCUGCUACAGCAUAGUCUUUUAAAGCCUAUAAACUCUCCUUACAAUUCCCCCAUUUUACCUGUCCUAAAACCAGACAAGCCUUACAAGUUAGUUCAGGACCUGCACAUUAUCAAUCAAAUUGUUUUGCCUAUCCACCCUGUGGUGCCCAACCCGUACACUCUUUUGUCCUGAAUACCUUCCUCCACAACUCACUAUUCCCUGCUUGAUCUUAAAGACGCUUUUUUCACUAUUCCCCUGCACCCCUCGUCCCAGCCUCUCUUUGCUUUCAUUUGGACUGACCUUGACACCAUCAAGCUCAGCAAACUACCUAGGCUGUACUGCCGCAAAGCUUCACAGACAGCCCCCAUUACUUCAAUCAAGCCCAAAUUUCUUCCUCAUCUGUUACCUAUCUCGGCAUAAUUCUCAUAAAAACACACGUGCUCUCCCUGCCAAUCGUGUCUGACUGAUCUCUCAAACCCCAGCACCUCCUACAAAACAACAACUCCUUUCCUUCCUAGGCAUGGUUAGCGCAGUCAGAAUUCUUACACAAGAGCCAGGACCACACCCUGUAGCCUUUCUGUCCAAACAACUUGACCUUACUGUUUUAGCCUAGCCCUCAUGUCUGCAUGCAGUGGCUGCCGCUGCUUUAAUACUUUUAGAGGCCCUCAAAAUCACAAACUAUGCUCAACUCACUCUCUACAGUUCUCAUAACUUCCAAAAUCUAUUUUCUUCCUCAUACCUGACGCAUAUACUUUCUGCUUCCCGGCUCCUUCAGCUGUACACUCUUUGUUGAGUCUCCCACAAUUACUGUUGUUCCUGGCCCAGACUUCAAUCCGGCCUCCCACAUUAUUCCUGAUACCACACCUGACCCCCAUGACUGUAUCUCUCUGAUCCACCUGACAUUCACCCCAUUUCCCCAAAUUUCCUUCUUUCCUGUUCCUCACCCUGAUCACGCUUGAUUUAUUGAUGGCGGUUCCACCAGGCCUAAUCGCCACACACCAGCAAAGGCAGUUUAUACUAUAGUACAAGCCACUAGCCUGCCUCUUAGAACAUCUCAUUUCCUUUCCAUCAUGGGAAUCUAUCCUCAAGGAAAUAACUUCUCAGUGUUCCAUCUGCUAUUCUACUACUCCUCAGGGAUUAUUCAGGCCUCCUCCCUUCCCUACACAUCAAGCUCAAGGAUUUGCCCCACCCAGGACUGGCAAAUUAGCUUUACUCAACAUGCCCUGAGACCGAUAACUAAAAAAACCUCUUAGUCUAGGUAGAUACUUUCACUGGAUAGGUAGAGGCCUUUCCUACAGGUCUGAGAAGGCCCCCGCAGUCAUUUCUUCCAUUCUGUCAGACAUAAUUCCUCAGUUUAGCCUUCCCACCUCAAUACAGUCUGAUAACAGACGAGCCUUUAUUAGUCAAAUCAGCCAAGCAGUUUUUCAGGCUCUUAGUAUUCAGUGAAACCUUUAUAUCCCUUAUGGUCCUCCGUCUUCAAGAAAAGUAGAAUGGACUAAAGGUCUUUUAAAAACACACCUCACCAAGCUCAGCCACCAACUUAAAAAGGACUGGACAAUACUUUUACCACUUUCCCUUCUCAGAAUUCAGGCCUGUCCUCGGAAUGCUACAGGGUACAGCCCAUUUAAGCUCCUGUAUAGAUGCUCCUUUUUAUUAGGCCCCAGUCUCAUUCCAGACACCAGACCAACUUAGACUGUGCCCCAAAAAAACUUGUCAUCCCUACUAUCUUCUGUCUAGUCAUACUCCUAUUCACCAUUCUCAACGACUCAUACAUGCCUUGCUCUGGUUUACACUGCCGGUUUACACUGUUUUUCCAAGCCAUCACAGCUGAUAUCUCCUGGUGCUAUCCCCAAACUGUCACUUUUAACUCUUGAAGUAAAUAAAUAAUCUUUGCUGGCAGGACUAUGCCGAAUCUCCUUAAGCACUCUCUAAUCAGAUAUCCUGAGUCGUCCCAAUUCUCAGACCUUUUAUACCUGUUUUUCUCCUUCUGUUAUUCCAUUUAGUUUCUCAAUUCAUCCAAAACCGUAUCUAGGCCAUCACCAAUCACUCUAUAUGACAAAUGUUUCUUCUAACAUCCCCACAAUAUCACCCCUUACCACAAGACCUCCCUUCAGCUUAAUCUCUCCCACUCUAGGUUCCCACGCCGCCCCUAAUCCCGCUUGAAGCAGCCCUGAGAAACAUCGUCCAUUCUCUCUCCAUAUCACCCCCCAAAAAUUUUCGCUGCCCCAACACUUCAACACUUUUUUGUUUUAUUUUUCUUAUUAAUAUAAGAAGGCAGGAAUGUCAGGCCUCUGAGCCCGAGCCAAGCCAUCACGUCCCCUGUGACUUGCACAUAUACGCCCAGGUGGCCUAAAGUAACUGAAGAAUCACAAAAGAAGUGAAAAUGCCCUGCCCCACCUUAACUGAUGACAUUCCACCACAAAAGAAGUGUAAAUGGCUGGUCCUUGCCUUAAGUGAUGACAUUACCUUGUGAAAGUCCUUUUCCUGGCUCAUCCUGGUUCAAAAAGCACCCCCACUGAGCACCUUGCAACCCCCACUCCUGCCUGCCAGAGAACAACCCCCCUUUGACUGUAAUUUUCCUUUACCUACCCAAAUCCUAUAAAACGGCCCCACCCCUAUCUCCCUUUGCUGACUCUCUUUUCGGACUCAGCCCACCUGCACCCAGGUGAUUAAAAGCUUUAUUGCUCACACAAAGCCUGUUUGGUGGUCUCUUCACAGGGACACGCAUGAAAAAAAUGUGCUGGGAACAGGAGAUACCAGGUAGUUCUGCCCUCAGGGCCCACUCAUGGCAGGUAGUGGUAAGCCAAGCAUUCUGGACCUUGGGCCACCAGGUGGCAUAUGCAAGCACAGUUUUAGUGAGUGCAGGUGGGCAAAUUCUUGAGACUCCAGGCAGUCUUCCUGUAUGCUGGCAGUGGGAGUGGUAAGCCAGAUCCGUGGGUGAGUCCUUAGGCCCUUAAGCCGAAUGUAUGGCCUGGAUUAUGGUAGUAGUGAUGGCAGGAUAAUUUUGGGGCUCUCAUGUGGCACUCACUAAUGUUAGCUGUUGGUAUGAUGGGCUGAGCAAGCUGGUCCCCAGGUUCCUUGGUUGUGCAUGUGCAUGGAUGUAGUUGAUGGUAUUGAUGACAGGUCUGGUGGGCCUGAUCUCAGGGCAUCAGGGUGUGCAGAGCUCCAGGAGGUAGUAGGCAGGGCAGGCAGUCUGUGGUGUUGGUUGUGGAGAGCCUGACCUCUGGGCUGGUGCUAGAGUGUGGUGAUCCUGCUGUUGAGUAUGGGUGGGGUUGCUAUCAGUGGUCCCCUGCAGGGAGCUCUCAGGUUCUGAGGGGUGUACACUUUCAACUCUGGCAGUAGCAGUGUCCACAGUGGUGUGUGUGAAGAGCCUGCACUCAUGACAUGCACUAGAGCACAGAGGCCAUGCUUUUGAAGGGGGCAGGGUUGCUAUUCAGAGCCCCAAACAGGCACUUCUCAGUUUCUGGGUAGUGUUUGCUUUGUCUCCUGGCUGCAGUCAGUGACUGCUAUCAUGUUCAAAGGGGUCAGAUGGAUCCUGCCUUUCUGGGUGUGAACUCAAGCACAGAGGCUGUGUUGUUGGUGGGAAUGGGGUUACUAUUUGCAUCCUCAGACAGGCAGCUGUCAGGCUCACUCACUUUGGCUCCCCGUGGCAGCAGCACUAUUGUGAUAUGCAGAAAGGGGAAGGGAUCCAUUUUCACAUGAGCCCAAGUACUGAGAACAUACUGCUAAUAGGGAUGUGGUUACUGUUUACAUACCCAGACUCUCAGAUUUAAGGUUUGCUUGCUUUGGCUUUCAGAGGCAGCAGUGGCUGCAGCAGUGUGGAGAGUUGGGGAAGGGAUCUUGACCUCUGUGCAUAAGCUAGAGCACAAAGGCCAUGCUGCUAGUUAGGGCAGGGUGGUUCCCUGCCCUAAUGGUACCAGGUACCAUUGGUAUCAUUAUACCAGGCAGGGAGCUCUUGGGUUCUGCCAAGCACAUGCACUGGUUCCCUUUGUCUCAGGAGAAGCCUCCUUGAUGUACUGCGCUAUCAUUUCCUUGAGGAGUUGUACUCCCUGUGGGUUAGAGUGCUGGGGACCCCACAACACCAUCGGGUCCAGCCACCAUUGUGCCACUGAAGCCCUCCAGGUGGAUGCCAGGGAAUUCUACUGGGGGUUCACAGGGUGUGAAGAUGUGGAAUUGUUGGUUCUCAGAAGAGGAUGCAGUCUGGUGGAAGCUGGACUCUGGCCAUAGUGCCCUACUGCAGCUGCUUAUGUCUUGCUAUGUGAUGUGGUGCAAGUUUCCCGCUUGCAGCAAUGCCCUGGCAGGCCUCUAGAUCACCACGCUGUAGAGUCCCCACCUAUGCUAAUCUCAGAGCUGUAUAGAUGGAAGAGGUCUCCUGUGGUUAGGAUUGCAGUAGUCUAAGAUUUGAAAGAAAACCCAGAGGAGUAACACUAAGAAUAUUGUGUUCUGCCAAUUAAAAACAAAAUAUCUAAUCAGAAAAUUAAUAGCCUCAGAAUUUGAUAUCCAGGAGAAGAAUUGGGAGAUCCUGCUAUGUUUUGCUCUGAGGGUCAAGUGAAAACAAUAAAAUGUAAGCCUUUGACUCAGUAUGUGAGUUGAUGAUAAAGAGUGGACUGUGCUAUGAAUUUUGUACUGAAAUGCUCUGAAAUAUGUUUACUGAGAUCUAAUUCUCUCUCACUUUUUCUCUACUCUUAUUUGAAUCACUGGAUGCAAGGGAUUACUUGUUUUCUUCAUUUUCUCUCUCACUUUUUCCUCUGUCAUGUAAAAAUAAUGAUUGGGUAACUGCAAAUACAAACUCACCUUUGUUGGCUCCUUUGCCUCUUCUUGGUAACUGUAAAUGACUUAUAUUCUGAUUCUUACUUGGCUAUUACUAUAAUUGUGACUUUGAGUAAAAAACUUAACCUUAAAAACUUAGUUUUACCAUUUGAAGAAUGAAAAAUUAGAUAAGAUGAUGCCCAGUGACUCUUUGCCUCACAUUUUAGUACAGUUUAUUCAUUUCUGUUUGAUUUCAUAUGAUGUCUCUUUGUGUGACUUUUUACAAAGAAACUACUAAGACUUUGAAAUUGGAUUGAAAUUAAAGACAAUUUCAAUCCAGUCUUCUCCAGCCCAUACUCUUGAGAAGAUUUAGAUGAUUACAAAAUGUUGGUUUUUCACUGACCAAGAUGGCCUCAAUGUUUCCCUUAGCUGGCCUGCUCUUUAUACUGACCUUUUCCUAACUAUGGAGUCCAUCCAUCUUUUCAUUAGAAGAUUUACUUUAGUAAACUUGCAAGAGUAAAUUCUUUAUCUGCCUUUUUCAAAUGCAUGUAAGUUUUCUUUCAGCCUCUUGCUACUUUGAUAAUCCAAAAAAUGCUUUUUUCAAGUACAUGGAAACCAUUUCUUUGAAAUGUGAACAUCUAAGGAAAAACAUCUGUAUUAGUCUUUUUUCAAGUUGCUGAUAAAGACUGAGAAAUUUACAAAAGAAAGAGGUUUAAUGGACUCACUGUUUCAUGUGGCUGGGGAUGCCUUAGUCAAGUUGAAAUGUAUGUCUCACAUGGCAGCAGAUGAGAUGAGAGCUUGCUCAGGGAAACUCCCCUUUAUAAAACCAUCAGAUCUCAUGAGACUUAUUCACUAUCAUGAGAACAGCAUGGGAAAGACCUGCCUCCAUGAUUCAAUUACUUCCCACCGGGUCCCUUCCACAACACAUUGGAAUUGUGGGAGCUACAUUUCAAGAUAAGAUUUGGAUAGGGACACAGCCAAACCAUAUCAGCAUCCUUAUCUCCCAGUCCCGGUGGACACCACUUAGUAAACACAGAUGGCCAAAUUGCAGAGAAAACCAUUUUCAAAAUGAGCAAUAACUCAGUGUACUUCACCUAUCCCAUUGAUUAACCUCUCUAAAUUCUCUAGUACUUUCCCACAAGUUCACCCUAGUGCUUUACCUCCCACUCCCCCAAAACUUCAUUUCAACAGUAUUAAGUCCAAUCUGUCUUCUCUACUGCUGUAGCCUGAAUAAAGUCUAAUUUGCCCAUUUAAGUUUGAAGCAAUUUUUGCUUCAAUACCCUUUAUCUUUGUGUGAAAAUUUUGCCUGGUCUUGGAAGACUGGGGAAAAAGCUAUUCUUAUUUUUUCAGUUAUUGCCUCAAGCAUCUGUCUUCAAAUUUCUAGAAAAUCCUUUUUGUAUACCCUGUACUCAUAUUCCCAAAUUUUGGUCACUUUUGUUUUUGAAUACUGCCAUUACCUCCAUCCUUAUUAGGUGAAACAUUGUUACUCUAUCAAAUUCUUGAUCAAACAAUGCCUACACCAUGAAAUAUGAUUUUCCUUAUUUCUUUACUUAGAAAUGAUCUUCCAUUGUCUGAAUUCCUAUUGUAUAUUUUAUACUUCCUUCAUGACUUAGCAUUAUGUCCUUUAUAUGCAUAAGUAUAAAUAUAACUAUAACUUUUACAUUAUAUGAUCAGUGUUAUUUAGAUUUUUUAAAUUAAUGAUUUUGGUUUUAUGUUUGUGUCUUUCUUUUGCAAGAGCCUAACUUAUUUUUAUACCAGUGGUUCUCAAAGUGUUAUUGUGAGAAUCUCUUAGAAAAGCAUAUUCGGGGAUCUAGCUCAAUAGUCCAGUAUCAAAAACUCUGGGGUGAGGCCCUGCAAUGUGUAUGUUAACAAGCCAUUCAGGUGAUUUUCAUAUAUGUGGAGUUUGAGAACUAUUGUUUAUUUUUCUCACUGUCUUGCACUUCAUAAGAGAUAAAAGUGUUUCUAAAUACAGAAAAUGUAUUCAAACAUUCAAACAUAUCCAAGCAACAUACAUAUGUAUUUCACUUAAAAUUAAUGUUUAUUUUAAUUAUAUUAUUUUUUUCUAGAAAACUCACUUGUUCUCUAGAAUAUGUAUUAUAGCUCAAAGUGUCACUAAAGAUCAUCUAACAAUCAGUUUUCAUUUUUGUAAAUGAAGUGAGGAUAUACUGGGAGAAAUUGAAUAAAACAUGAUGUACUCUAAUAAAUUACAUUGAGAUUGAAAUUUUUAUUUUCCAAAGCCCAGUCCAACGUAAUUUUAAAACAACAUAUUGUGGUUAAUGUGUGGUUAUUUCACUCUAAAUAUUAGAUCCCCACUCUCCAACAGAAUUUUUUGUAAUAAUAAAAAUUUUCUACAUCUUA